UUCUAAUAAUAUCUGGCUUGUUUGCAUUGCUGGGGACUGGGGACUAAUAAAAUACAUUUCCUUUAUCAGUGUUUUUUUAAAUAUCUCGCGAUAACUUAAACGACUUUGGCACGGUCGCCGGACACCACUCGCCGAGGAUGAUAUCCUUUAAUAUCAAUUUUAUUCACGAUAAGAGAGCGAACAAAUCACUUGUUCACUGUUCAAACGUAGAAAACUACACAUACAUAACGCUAUUAUUACUACCCAGCAAACACACCUCGGUCCCUGAGACGUCCCACGGAAGUCAUUACAGGAUAUAGGCCUAAGUCGUUAGGACGUCCCGGAACGUCCCCAUUUUUACGUGGGAAGUCCAUGGGGCAUACUUUUGGGACUGUUCGGGCCAUGUAUGGGAUGAUCCUGUAAAGGUCAAUUGGGACAUUACUGUUAUUAUAGACGAGUUGUUUAGAGAAAAUAUGUGAAACGUUCUUAGGUUAAUAGUCAACCGUCAAAUUAUUGCUAGGAACAAAUAUGUAUAAAGUAAAAAAAAAACUUUCUGAAAACGGUGAAGGCAAUUUUAUAAUUUAGAAAAUUUAGGUUGGAAGAUAUUUAAAAGAAACAAAAUACUGAACCAAUAACACAUACCUCCCCAUACUUCAAAACGAACCAAAAACGUUUACGUAUGGUAUCAAACUAAACUUAUUUUUGCUAUGCUCUUCUAUCUGAAACUGGUAAAUUUAGUUUUUCCUUUUCAGUUUUUCCGGCGCGUUCCUGAGCCAAUUUUGAGCUUCAAUUUCAAUGUCUUUUCGUGUUGGUAUAAAUAGCAAAUUUUUGAGCAAACCAUCUGUAAUAAAAAAUAUAUAUUUUAUCAUUUAUAAAUCCAACUAAAGGUUCUUCAGCGAUUUCUACUUCAGGCCUCGCCACCCAUGUUAGAACAUGUUCACUAAGUCUAUUCGGAUCACAUCGAGGGUGAGGCAAAAUCAGAUUCUUAAGGCCCUGAUUAGAAUGUUGGCCUCAUUAGAACAUUGUAAACUAUUUCAUAAUGUACUCGUUCAAUAUUCAUUUAUUUAAUGGUGAUAUAAAGACUUCGCUUAAUUUUUAGGGUAUUAAGCAUGGCUUUACGUUCGAAAGCAUGAAAAUUAUAGCAUACUUCUAUACAUAUAAACGAAUAUCAUACAUGAAAGUGAUAAAAAUAUAAUUUAGCUACUUCCUUUGUCUGUAAUAAAACAAUAACACGUACGGAAAAUCAAAACGCAGCAACUAAAAUCUGCAACAACGAAAGCAUGGACAAGAGACACCUAACCAAAGUUAUCCGCCUCUUUGGCGUCUUUAACAUGACAUAUGAUUCAUAUGAAGAACUGUGAGACAUGACAAAGCAGAGACAAGUAAUAAUUAUGCCUUGUCUCUGUUAAAAGCCUGGGUAAUCGGUUUAAAUGAUAUGUAUAUUUUGUACAUAUGUAUGAUUUUGUUAUGUGAAAUGACUGUGUGAUGGUAUAUACUUUAUGAAGUGUGUAAUAAAGUGUAUAACUUU